AAAAAAAAAAAAAAAAAAAGAAAAAAGCAUAAUACAGUUUAAAUGGUACAGUACAAGGCUGUGGACAUAGUCGAAAAAUGAGUCAUGCAUUUCUAAAGAUGCUGUACAGCAAAAGUGUGUGUGAAUGCGCUCACAUAAAGUAAAUGCCACGUAUGUGUAUAACAGUUCAAGUAAUGGCUGGCGAGCAAAAACAAAACUCAAAUUGGUAAGGAGCGAAAUGGACAUGUUUGCCUUACAUUCAACGUAAAAUAAACACAUUAAUUUUGUAUUUGUAGAGAAUUAGGGAAAGGCAGCGCAAUCGAUUGAUUGGUUGUUGAGAGGUCUGUCCAUUGUGAGGCUAUUGUUGAUUAUUUUGAGGAGUCUAAACAUUUGAGAGAAGCCUCUUUCAAACAAAUUUCGCAAAACUGCUGCUUCCUAACCCUAACCCCUUGAAAUCAUUUAGAAGAGAUUAAUCGAUUGCUAAAUUUAGUGCCCAUCCCUAGAAAGAAGUGUAACUCAUCAAAAUAGAACAUAUCAGCAACUCCGCAAAUGCCUAAUCGAUGAAAAGGAGUCCAAAGUUGCAUUUUUUUUGAAGGAGGCAAACCCGGGCUAAAACCAUCAUGGCACUGUUUGUUUGGCAGAUUUUCUCCUUCUAUGUUGAUUCUUUAUGUUUCCCUCAGCGAAAAACAACAAAAGUGCAAGGUGUGUACUCGCAAUAAAAGGUACUUGACUGUUUCACACCUUUCCUUAUAUAAACAGAUAUACAUUCACCCAAAUACACAAGAUUGAGAAGCGUGCACGCACACGCACACCCACCCACACAUACACACGCACGCGCGCACGCACGCACACGCACACACACACGCACACGCACACACGGUGUCAGGCAGUGUUGUUGCCAUUAAGAUGAUGUGGCACAGGGGGUGGCGGUUCGUCGCAAGGUUCGGGCCCAGGUGCCAGUUGGAAAGGGUUACAAAGGAGCGGGGACUGACUGCCUGCUCUUUGGUCCCAUAAAGCACUUGUUUCGAGGCGGGUGACAACUUUGAGGAUUGACGCCGUCUGCUAAGCUACGACCAUAGAGAUGUGCAGCACGUGUGGAAAAAAAAAAGUCUUUGCAGGCCAUGCGGUUCAAAGGUCGUCCAUAGCGUUCGGCGGGAGAAGCGUCUCGGUUUGAAAGUGAAGGAAGACAGGGGAAAAGCGAGGUUUCACCAUUGCAGCAGUUUGUUUGCGUCCAUAUUGUGGAGGGAGGGACGCAUGCUCGCCAAAGACUGGACUGGACAGGAACCACGUAUACAAAAUGUGUUGUCAGCAUAUACAGGUUGAAGAAGGAACACAAGAAGCUUUGUGGAUAGAAACCACGGUUUCCCAAACAGAGGGGAGGGGACCCCAAAACCAGUCGUGGAGUCCAAAGUUCCCCAAGUGUGGUGCGCAAGAGCCAUCCAAAGGAGUGCGAGGCUGAAGAGGUUUUAUCUCGUCUUCUCAACGGUGAAAAAUUAGAGAAGCUAACGUUUUCCAAAAAAAAAGGGGGGGGGGGGGGGGGGUCUGUGCCAAGGUUUGGGAAACCCUGAUCUAAACAGACACAGCGGCCACGUGAACACCAAGACAGACAGCUGACAGACAGCGAAAAACCAACCCAAACCACCCUUGCCCCCAUCCACGUGAAAGACAGACAAACGCAGCCUUAAGGCAAUGCCGAGCCCUUGGAAACGUUGGCACAUGCAUGCGAGUGCAGAAAUGUCUGCAUAUGUGCAUCUCACGUGGAAUGAAAAAGAAAAAUAACCAAAAGGAGGGAUAAAGCGCCCCAAGUUGGCCUUUUUUUCAGCUGCAAAACGUCCGGCGCAACAGAAGCAACGAGGGUGAAGAAAAAUUAUUUAAGUAAAUAAAGGCCUUUGUAAUGUCAGUUGAAAGGUUGAAGAAAUUGGUGAGAAAAAGGGUUAAGAGAAAAUGGCGAGAGAAAUGGAGAGAAACAAUGACAGGCAACAGCAAAAUAAAAAAAUGCUGAAAGUAACGAGGAAAGAAAAAAGCAAUAGGAAAAAUGGGGUAAAGAAGACAUUUGUGUUAGAAAUGGGGGGAACAAAGUAAAUGGCUAAGAGAAACAAGAGACAAAAAAAAUGUUCGUUAGUCACAAAAAAACAAUUGUGAGAAAUCGGGGAAAUACAAAAAAGUUGAGAAACGUCGGAAAGAAAAACGGCAAGAGAAAUGGAGAAGGAAAAAAGCUGCUGCGAGAGGAAAAAAGAUGGUGUGAGAAACCGGG